rnacentral:lncRNA from 1 species
UUGCUUUAUAAUUUUCUAUAACAAUAAUAAUUGUAAUGAUAAUGGAGCAUCAUGGUUGGUGAUAGUGUACAAAAUCAAAAUAAUUAGAAGAGACAAAAAGAUUGAGGUUGAAGGAGAGGGUGGUGGGAGCCGCGACGCGCCGCUCCCGAAUAUCAUUCCAAAGAAGUCACCAUCACCGUUGUUGCGGUUGGUGCCGCCACUGCCGGACCCACCGCCGCUGAAUCCGGGAUAGGAGUUGCCCUCCCC